GUUUUUUGUUGCUAAAAAAAAAACAGUAUAAAUAUAAAAGCACUUUGCCAGUCAAAUAGUAGCCGUUAGGAACAACAGAGACUCGGGACAUGCCAUAUUAAGCCAAGGUGCAUCAAUCAAUUGCAAAUACUAUUUGAUGCUGAUAUAAACUAAACUUCGUAUAAUUUUCAAAUGAAUUUCACCUGAGUAUAUCAUUAAGGGAGAAAUGGGUUGUGUGAAGGAUAAGUCUCUUUUUGCCUUUUGUAUGCCCUGGUGGCAUUUAAUCCCCCUAGUCCAACUGUUCCCAAAAUGAUGAAAAGGAAAGGGAUCCGGAUUAAUACGUGAUUACUUCUUCCCCCAUGUGCUUUUGGCAUGCCAGUCCUCACAACUCGAGCAUAAGUGGCUGAAGCAGAAUCUGUUCCUCUCACACCUGUGAUAACCAUUACAUAUCAAGUCAAUUGAAUUUCAUUGGUUCUAUAAUUGUAUAGCUUAUCACCCAAUUCAAUCUUCUGAACAAGGUGCUUAGAGCUUGGAUCAUGGUUUGCAAACUCAAAUCCAAAUGGACAUUUCCAAUUAGACAACUUGCAACUUG
rnacentral:misc_RNA from 1 species